rnacentral:rRNA from 1 species
AUCUGCUUAAAUACCCUAAAGGCAUCCAAUCCCAUCUGAUGUUGAAAGCUAAACAAUGUUAGCCCAGGUUAGUACUUGGAUGGGAGACUGCCAACAAAUAGUGGGCGUUGUUGGUA